rnacentral:rRNA from 1 species
AUGCCCAAACAUGUCAUAUGCCAUGAGGAGGAUGAGUCUGGUUGGGAAGAGCGUUGGCGAGAGCAGUCAACCUCCUUCCUUAACUUCUUGGCGCAGCAGCCGGCGAGGACGGCAAUGCAGCAGCCGAUGCGGAUGACGAGGGAGAUGAUGAGCAAAUCCGGCCUCCCCUGCUCCUUUACCCAACCGCCUCCAUCCAACUGUGGUGGUUGGAUCUCAGAUCCUUCCACUGUUUGUCCAGAUUCUUCCCUUCAUAUGUUUCAGCCAAGCCAAGACAACUAUCUUCUUACAAUUGUUGCAUGUCAAUUAUUACCUUUUAGGUGCCUUCUGCCUUGA